UACGUAGGGGGCAAGCGUUGUCCGGAAUCAUUGGGCGUAAAGCGCGUGUAGGCGGCCAGAAAAGUCCGCUGUGAAAACUCGAGGCUCAACUUCGAGCUGUCGGUGGAAACUUUCUGGCUAGAGUCCGGAAGAGGAGAAUGGAAUUCCUGGUGUAGCGGUGAAAGUGCGCAGAUAUCAGGAGGAACACCGGUGGGCGAAGGCGGGUCUCUGGGCCGAUACUGACGCUGAGGAGCGAAAGCGUGGGGAGCGAACAGG
rnacentral:rRNA from 1 species